GCCUACGGCCACACCACCCUGAAAGCGCCCGAUCUCGUCUGAUCUCGGAUGCUAAGCAGGGUCGGGCCUGGUUAGUACCUGGAUGGGAGACCGCCUGGGAAUACCACGUGCCGUAGGCU
rnacentral:rRNA from 1 species